GAUGAAGAACGCAGCGAAAUACGAUAAGUAAUGUGAAUUGCAGAAUUCAGUGAAUCAUCGAAUCUUUGAACGCACAUUGCGCCCCCUGGUAUUCCGGGGGGCAUGCCUGUUCGAGCGUCAUUUCACCACUCAAGCCUCGCUUGGUAUUGGGCAACGCGGUCCGCCGCGUGCCUCAAAUCGACCGGCUGGGUCUUCUGUCCCCUAAGCGUUGUGGAAACUAUUCGCUAAAGGGUGUUCGGGAGGCUACGCCGUAAAACAACCCCAUUUCUAAGGUUGACCUCGGAUCAGGUAGGGAUACCCGCUGAACUUAAGCAUAUCAUAAGCGGAGGA
rnacentral:misc_RNA from 1 species